rnacentral:tRNA from 1 species
GCUUUUGUGGUGUAUACUGCAUUUGAAAUUUUCAAUUUCAAGGAGCAAAUUGUGUAAAAAUGUUGCUAAAAGUG